CCUACGGGCGGCAGCAGUGGGGGAUAUUGCACAAUGGGGGAAACCCUGAUGCAGCGACGCCGCGUGUGGGAAGACGGUCCUCUGGAUUGUAAAUCACUGUCCCCAGGGCCGAAGAUGACGGUAUCUGGGGGGGAAGCUCCGGCUAACUAUGCGCAAGCAGCCGCGGUAAUACGUAGGGAGCAAGCGUUGUCCGGAAUUACUGGGUGUAAAGGGAGCGUAGGCGGGAUGGCAAGUUGAGUGUAAAAUCUACCGGCUCAACUGGUAGUCGCACUCAAAACUGCUAUUCUUGAGUGAAGUAGAGGCAGGCGGAAUUCCUAGUGUAGCGGUGAAAUGCGUAGAUAUUAGGAGGAACACCAGUGGCGAAGGCGGCCUGCUGGGCUUUUACUGACGCUGAGGCUCGAAAGUGUGGGGAGCAAACAGGAUUAGAUACCCGAGUAGUC
rnacentral:rRNA from 1 species